UACGUAGGGAGCAAGCGUUGUCCGGAAUGACUGGGCGUAAAGGGUGUGUAGGUGGUUUGGCAAGUUAGAAGUGUGAUACCUAGGCUUAACUUAGGCGCUGCUUUUAAAACUGUUAGACUUGAGUGCAGUAGAGGUUAGUGGAAUUCCUAGUGUAGCGGUGGAAUGCGUAGAUAUUAGGAGGAACACCAGAGGCGAAGGCGGCUAACUGGACUGUAACUGACACUGAGACACGAAAGUGUGGGGAGCAAAC
rnacentral:rRNA from 1 species